rnacentral:lncRNA from 1 species
GCAUGGAAAGGCGAGGGUGAGAGUGGGCAGAGUUUGGAGGAGCAAAGAUGGAUGCCGCCACUUCAUGGUCGAAUGGAAUGUUAACAUCAGCUUGCUUUCCAAUUGCGUUGCCGCUUAUGUCCGCGAUGACAACUCUGACAUCGUCGCUACUGACACCAUGAAAAACACUGUAAGCUUAAACUGCUUUCCUUUUUUUUUUUAAUUAGCUAAAUCGUGAAGCUUUUUUUCAUUUUACUAGUUCAUGGAAAUUUUGUUAUAUUAUUUUAGCAUGAUUUCCCUUUCAAAGUAUUGUAAUUCUCUAUCGUUUCAGUUCAUGAUACUUUUUAUGUUCGCUCUGUUCACUCUUUAUUAUGUUUCUUUUCAAAGUUCCUAACCUUUUGCUUAGAAACGUACUAUAAAAUUAGGACAGAAAAAUGAGAAGAAAAUAUGUAUUUUUCUUUUAUUAGCAUGCUUGGUAGGAAAUAUGAAAAAGUGGAUAUGGAUGGCUUGUGGUGGUUGAAAACCUAGAGAGAAUGAAAUUAAAAUUUUAAAAUAAUAAAUAAUCUUGUAAAUACAAGAUACUCUUUGAAUUCAGUUUAGAAAUCAGCUUCAGGAUAAAGGACGGUGGGGGGGGGGGAAGGGAGAAUGAUUAUGGUAAUGUAUCUCCCUAUAAAAAUUAAUCUUCAAAUGAUAAUUUCUUAAGUAUUUAUCAAUAUUUGCAGUCAUGUUGAUUGAGAAAUUCUUCGUAUAACAGCAUUGUUGCUACGCCAUCUGAGUAAUUGUUGAAACUAAUACAGGUUUAUGUCAAAGCAAAGGAAUGUUCAGAACAACUUUCAGCAGAGGAGUUUGCUAUUCUACUUGGCAAGCACUUCACAUCAUUUUAUCCACAGGUAGUUUCUUGAUGCUUAAAAAUUUAUUUUAAUCUUAUGAAGAAAGUAGUCAGGAGCUGGAUGAUUCCUUCUCUUUCUUAGUAUGAGGAUAAUUCAGUUUGCUUUUCAGUAGGGUAAUGUAUUCCCUACAUUUGGAAGAAACCAAAGUAUCAUAGUUCUCUUACAGAGGCUACAAAUGCAUCCUAUUUGGUGGAUUGGGCAAUUUGAGGUUUGAGGAUUUAUAACAGAUGUGCAUUCCGGCUUUUGAGUUCAGUAUCGUUGGCUAAGUGUUUAUCAUGAAUAGUGAUAAUCGUUGGCUAAGUGUUUGAGAAUGAAUCUUUUAUGUAUUCUUAUUUGGGCUUCAUUACAAAAUAAUUUUUCAUUACUAAAUUUCCUACGUCUAUAAGCAUAGAGACUUCUGGAAUUCAUUUUCUUUUGUACCCUAAAAUAAUAUACAAAGCAUUGUUGGGUUCAUCAAGUCCUUUUUAAAAUAAAGUAUAUGCUUUAUUUGUUUGCUUUUAGCCACAGUAUGAUGAGCAUUUCAGUAGGAAUAUACUUCUAUAUGUUACCUUAAAAUUGUCGGUGAUGUCUAUGAAUGAGCUGACGAAACUUUCUUUCUUGACCUCCAUCUCAUUAUUUUAAAUAGAGCUUCAGCUUGACAUUGGAUUAAAUCUGCUUCUUCC